GGGGGGGGGGGGGGGGGGGGCGGGCGGAGGGAGGGCGGAGGGGACCUGCGGGUCUAGUGGCGCACGGGUGCGUAGCGCGUGGGAACCUGCCGUUAGGGUCGGGAUACCCCAGGGAAAUUUGAGCUAAUAGCGGAUGAUGUCUUCGGACCAAAGAUUUAUCGCCUUUGGAUGGGCCCGCGUUGGAUUGGCUAGUUUGUAGGGUAAAGGCCUACCAAGGCGACGAUCCAUAGCUGGUCUGAGAGGAUGAUCAGCCACACUGGGACUGAGACACGGCCCAGACUCCUACGGGAGGCAGCAGUGGGGAAUAUUGGACAAUGGGCGAAAGCCUGAUCCAGCAAUGCCGCGUGAGUGAUGAAGGCCUUAGGGUUGUAAAGCUCUUUUACCCGAGAUGAUAAUGACAGUAUCGGGAGAAUAAGCUCCGGCUAACUCCGUG
rnacentral:rRNA from 1 species